rnacentral:rRNA from 1 species
GUACACUCCUACGGGAGGCAGCAGUGGGGAAUUUUGGACAAUGGGCGAAAGCCUGAUCCAGCAAUGCCGCGUGUGUGAAGAAGGCCUUCGGGUUGUAAAGCACUUUUGUCCGGAAAGAAAUCCUUGGCUCUAAUACAGUCGGGGGAUGACGGUACCGGAAGAAUAAGCACCGGCUAACUACGUGCCAGCAGCCGCGGUAAUACGUAGGGUGCGAGCGUUAAUCGGAAUUACUGGGCGUAAAGCGUGCGCAGGCGGUUUGCUAAGACCGAUGUGAAAUCCCCGGGCUCAACCUGGGAACUGCAUUGGUGACUGGCAGGCUAGAGUAUGGCAGAGGGGGGUAGAAUUCCACGUGUAGCAGUUAAAUGCGUAGAGAUGUGGAGGAAUACCGAUGGCGAAGGCAGCCCCCUGGGCCAAUACUGACGCUCAUGCACGAAAGCGUGGGGAGCAAACAGGAUUAGAAACCCGAGUAGUCCCAUGAU